AGGACAAGUUUGCGGGGAAAGAGAGAAGAUUGGGCAAAAAUUUGGCAUGAGAACAGCCUUUAACCUGUCCCUUCAAUACAUUUGCUGCCUCAGGAAGGAAGAGGCCACAAGGAGCUCCUGGCUUUUACUACAGCCUCCAGAGUCUCUAAUUCCGUCCCCAGGGAUGGUGUGGGCAGCAUGGUUGGGGGGCAUCCACUGUCUUCAGUGGCCCCACUCUGGAGCCUCCCACACCACACUGUGGGCACUGUGGACAUUCA
rnacentral:lncRNA from 1 species